rnacentral:rRNA from 1 species
GAUGAACGCUGGCGGCGUGCCUAAUACAUGCAAGUCGAGCGAACGGACGAGAAGCUUGCUUCUCUGAUGUUAGCGGCGGACGGGUGAGUAACACGUGGAUAACCUACCUAUAAGACUGGGAUAACUUCGGGAAACCGGAGCUAAUACCGGAUAAUAUUUUGAACCGCAUGGUUCAAAAGUGAAAGACGGUCUUGCUGUCACUUAUAGAUGGAUCCGCGCUGCAUUAGCUAGUUGGUAAGGUAACGGCUUACCAAGGCAACGAUGCAUAGCCGACCUGAGAGGGUGAUCGGCCACACUGGAACUGAGACACGGUCCAGACUCCUACGGGAGGCAGCAGUAGGGAAUCUUCCGCAAUGGGCGAAAGCCUGACGGAGCAACGCCGCGUGAGUGAUGAAGGUCUUCGGAUCGCAAAACUCUGUUAUUAGGGAAGAACAUAUGUGUAAGUAACUGUGCACAUCUUGACGGUACCUAAUCAGAAAGCCACGGCUAACUACGUGCCAGCAGCCGCGGUAAUACGUAGGUGGCAAGCGUUAUCCGGAAUUAUUGGGCGUAAAGCGCGCGUAGGCGGUUUUUUAAGUCUGAUGUGAAAGCCCACGGCUCAACCGUGGAGGGUCAUUGGAAACUGGAAAACUUGAGUGCAGAAGAGGAAAGUGGAAUUCCAUGUGUAGCGGUGAAAUGCGCAGAGAUAUGGAGGAACACCAGUGGCGAAGGCGACUUUCUGGUCUGUAACUGACGCUGAUGUGCGAAAGCGUGGGGAUCAAACAGGAUUAGAUACCCUGGUAGUCCACGCCGUAAACGAUGAGUGCUAAGUGUUAGGGGGUUUCCGCCCCUUAGUGCUGCAGCUAACGCAUUAAGCACUCCGCCUGGGGAGUACGACCGCAAGGUUGAAACUCAAAGGAAUUGACGGGGACCCGCACAAGCGGUGGAGCAUGUGGUUUAAUUCGAAGCAACGCGAAGAACCUUACCAAAUCUUGACAUCCUUUGACAACUCUAGAGAUAGAGCCUUCCCCUUCGGGGGGCAAAGUGACAGGUGGUGCAUGGUUGUCGUCAGCUCGUGUCGUGAGAUGUUGGGUUAAGUCCCGCAACGAGCGCAACCCUUAAGCUUAGUUGCCAUCAUUAAGUUGGGCACUCUAAGUUGACUGCCGGUGACAAACCGGAGGAAGGUGGGGAUGACGUCAAAUCAUCAUGCCCCUUAUGAUUUGGGCUACACACGUGCUACAAUGGACAAUACAAAGGGCAGCGAAACCGCGAGGUCAAGCAAAUCCCAUAAAGUUGUUCUCAGUUCGGAUUGUAGUCUGCAACUCGACUACAUGAAGCUGGAAUCGCUAGUAAUCGUAGAUCAGCAUGCUACGGUGAAUACGUUCCCGGGUCU